rnacentral:rRNA from 1 species
GAUGAACGCUGGCGGCGUGCUUGACACAUGCAAGUCGAACGGUGAAGGCGGAGCUUGCUCUGCUGGAUCAGUGGCGAACGGGUGAGUAACACGUGAGCAAUCUGCCCCUGACUCUGGGAUAAGCGCUGGAAACGGCGUCUAAUACUGGAUACGAGCUGCGAAGGCAUCUUCAGCAGCUGGAAAGAAUUUCGGUCAGGGAUGAGCUCGCGGCCUAUCAGCUUGUUGGUGAGGUAAUGGCUCACCAAGGCGUCGACGGGUAGCCGGCCUGAGAGGGUGACCGGCCACACUGGGACUGAGACACGGCCCAGACUCCUACGGGAGGCAGCAGUGGGGAAUAUUGCACAAUGGGCGAAAGCCUGAUGCAGCAACGCCGCGUGAGGGACGACGGCCUUCGGGUUGUAAACCUCUUUUAGCAGGGAAGAAGCGAAAGUGACGGUACCUGCAGAAAAAGCGCCGGCUAACUACGUG